rnacentral:rRNA from 1 species
UACAGAGGGGGCAAGCGUUAUCCGGAUUCACUGGGUUUAAAGGGUGCGUAGGUGGGCAGGUAAGUCAGUGGUGAAAUCUCCGGGCUCAACCCGGAAACUGCCAUUGAUACUAUCAGUCUUGAAUAUCGUGGAGGUAAGCGGAAUAUGUCAUGUAGCGGUGAAAUGCUUAGAUAUGACAUAGAACACCAAUUGCGAAGGCAGCUUACUACCCGAAUAUUGACACUGAGGCACGAAAGCGUGGGGAUCAAACAGG